GAUGAACGCUGGCGGCGUGCCUAAUACAUGCAAGUCGAGUGAACGGACGAGAAGCUUGCUUCUCUGAUGUUAGCGGCGGACGGGUGAGUAACACGUGGAUAACCUACCUAUAAGACUGGGAUAACUUCGGGAAACCGGAGCUAAUACCGGAUGAUAUUUUGAACCGCAUGGUUCAAAAGUGAAAGACGGUCUUGCUGUCACUUAUAGAUGGAUCCGCGCUGCAUUAGCUAGUUGGUAAGGUAACGGCUUACCAAGGCAACGAUGCAUAGCCGACCUGAGAGGGUGAUCGGCCACACUGGAACUGAGACACGGUCCAGACUCCUACGGGAGGCAGCAGUAGGGAAUCUUCCGCAAUGGGCGAAAGCCUGACGGAGCAACGCCGCGUGAGUGAUGAAGGUCUUCGGAUCGUAAAACUCUGUUAUUAGGGAAGAACAUAUGUGUAAGUAACUGUGCACAUCUUGACGGUACCUAAUCAGAAAGCCACGGCUAACUACGUG
rnacentral:rRNA from 1 species